rnacentral:rRNA from 1 species
GAUGAACGCUGGCGGCGUGCCUAAUACAUGCAAGUCGAGCGAACGGACGAGAAGCUUGCUUCUCUGAUGUUAGCGGCGGACGGGUGAGUAACACGUGGAUAACCUACCUAUAAGACUGGGAUAACUUCGGGAAACCGGAGCUAAUACCGGAUAAUAUUUUGAACCGCAUGGUUCAAAAGUAAAAGACGGUCUUGCUAUCACUUAUAGAUGGAUCCGCGCUGCAUUAGCUAGUUGGUAAGGUAACGGCUUACCAAGGCAACGAUGCAUAGCCGACCUGAGAGGGUGAUCGGCCACACUGGAACUGAGACACGGUCCAGACUCCUACGGGAGGCAGCAGUAGGGAAUCUUCCGCAAUGGGCGAAAGCCUGACGGAGCAACGCCGCGUGAGUGAUGAAGGUCUUCGGAUCGUAAAACUCUGUUAUUAGGGAAGAACAUAUGUGUAAGUAACUGUGCACAUCUUGACGGUACCUAAUCAGAAAGCCACGGCUAACUACGUG